GAAUCAUAUUCCUGUUCCAGGUGAUUGCAGACAAUUAUCGUCCCUCGUCGAAUUCUGUCAGAAUUUCAUGUAAACUACGGAAUUUCUUGGCGAAACAACACGAAGUUUUAUGUCAUGGAGUCUCUUUGGAUACCCAUGUCUACUUUGACCAUGAUCUUAGUCUUAGCAUUCUGGUGUGGUUUUUCUGACGGGUAUCAACAUUCCUUCUGCAAACUUGUAAGAAAUGAAUUAAGCGUCACCCUCUCGAGCUGUCCCAGCACUUUCUGGAUAGAUGCAGAUUAUCUUGGACUGACAGAACUCCCUGCCAAAGGUUUUGAACACCUUCCAAAGCUGGUAUAUCUGU